CUGGGCGCCCGGCCUCGCGCCGGGACCCGGCCCGCCGGCGGCCCCUUACUCUGUCUCUCAGCGUUGUAUCUCUGAGUCUCACAAAUGAGUCAAAACUUUCAACAACGGAUCUCUUGGUUCUGGCAUCGAUGAAGAACGCAGCGAAAUGCGAUAAGUAAUGUGAAUUGCAGAAUUCAGUGAAUCAUCGAAUCUUUGAACGCACAUUGCGCCCGCCAGUAUCCUGGCGGGCAUGCCUGUUCGAGCGUCAUUUCAACCCUCAGGCCUUGCCUGGUGUUGGGGACCUGCGCCUGCAGUCCCCGAAAGACAGCGGCGGGCUCGUCCCGGCUCCGAGCGUAGUAACUUACGUCGCUCUGGGUGCCGGGCGGGCUCCGGCCGUGAACCCCUAUUUCUUAAGGUUGACCUCGGAUCAGGUAGGAAUACCCGCUGAACUUAAGC
rnacentral:rRNA from 1 species